UUAGUGGAGUCAUCUCUCUCCUGAUGGCAAGUCUGCAUUGGUGUUGCAGUGAACGAGGAUUCCCUGGGAAAGUAAUUUUUUUUUUGUGCUUUUUUUUGUUAUCUAAUGCUACAACAUCCAUAUUUUUAACCAUUUUCAGCUUGGAGCAGAUGAGAACAUGAUUGACGUAGUCAAGGAUAACCCGCACAGCUCUUCCAGAGAACUGCACUAGCCAAGAGACGCUGAUGAAAUCACAAAACUACAUGAAACAAACAAUAGAGACAGAAGUAAAGAUACAUAUGCCACAUGAAAACAUUUCUUUUGAGCUUUUGGAACAGACAUUAUGGGUAAACUUACUGGAACCUUCUCACUGACAGUAUUGCAAGGCAGUGGGAAACACUGUGUCAUUGACCUCUGUGAAGUAACAGUUGACGUCUGCUCGGCUGGACAGGAGAAUCCUGACAAUCUCAUACCUCCCAGAUCUCACCGCCACCAGGAGGCAGUGCAGGGGAUCCAGGUAAUGCCCUUUGUACGCUGCACAGUGGAUGGGAAGCUGUAAGGAAAGAUUAGCGAUGUUGGGAUCGGCUCCAUGUUGAAGUAAAAGUUCAAUGCAGUCAGGAUUGCCAGAGCCAGCAGCAUCAUAUAACACACUGUCUCCAUUUGGUGCCAGAGCAUUUACAUCGCCACCUAUUGGAGUGGAGGACAUCAUGGUUUAGUAAACAUUGAUUAACCAGUAUUACCAUAGUGAAUAAGGAUAUCCAGCGCCUCUGCUUGUCCGUACUCUGCUGCAAUCCCCAUGGGCGUCACUCCAUGCUCGUCUGUCUCCGAAACAUUCCCUCCAUGUUGCAGCAGUAGCGUAAGAAUCUCCGUGCUCAAGCAGAGUCCUAACAAUCUCCACCAGCCCAGCUUGAGUCGCCAAAAUCAAUGCCGUUUCUCCAUCUGCGGUUUCCUCCUCUAAACUCAACCUCUCACCAUAAAGUACCAUCUCCAGCACCUGCACGGAUUGCUGGACGGCAGCUCUAUGAAUCGGGUACCAGCCCUUGCUAUCCACCUCAGUGAAUGCGGCAGGAUAGUCCGACAGCUCCUGCAGAGCAAAGAGGUCACCUGCGGGGCCAGACGAAAAUUGCCUUACACUUAGCCACACAGCUAAUUACAGGCAUUUAACAGCUUUUUUCAAUAAAAUGAAAUGAUUUCAAAAGCCAACUUCUUAUGAGAGCAUCACACCUUCCUAGAGAGGCGAUGUCUUUACAUGACUCUUGAAUGCUCCGUUGAAUUGCAGCAUCAAGAAGGUCAUCGUCCUCAUCUAGGUCACCUGAUGGGUCCAUUUUCCUGGAGACGACAGAGGUGCUUCAGGGAUCGUGGGUUGUCUGAAACAAAUUCAAAAGCUAUUAGUCUGCAUUCCCUGAGACUAGAGAACCAUCGAUCUGUUGCUAGAGAACAGGAUGGGUCUCAGACGUGAGCAGAGGGGGACGCGGCUGACAUAGUUCAGUAGGAUCAGUACCGCUCGUCCCGACAGAUAUCACAUGGUUUACGUAGAUGGAUGUCCUUCCAAUCAAACCCCAUGUUGAAAUGGAGAUCAUGGUGACAAUGGAAACAUUUGCCUACGUCAUAUCCAUUAUUAAGAAGUAAUCGCAUCAUCUCCUCA